rnacentral:rRNA from 1 species
AUUGCCUUAGUAACGGCGAGUGAAGCGGCAAAAGCUCAAAUUUGAAAUCGGCCACCAGGUCGAGUUGUAAUUUGUAGAUUGUAUCUUGAGAGCGGAUUAAAGUCUGUUGGAACACAGCGCCUUAGAGGGUGACAGCCCCGUAAAAUCUAUUCUCAUUGUAAGAUACUUUCGAAGAGUCGAGUUGUUUGGGAAUGCAGCUCUAAGUGGGAGGUAAAUUCCUUCUAAAGCUAAAUAUUGACGAGAGACCGAUAGCGAACAAGUACUGUGAAGGAAAGAUGAAAAGCACUUUGAAAAGAGAGUGAAAAAGUACGUGAAAUUGUUAAAAGGGAAGGGUAUUGAAUCAGACUUGGUGCUGUUGUUCAACUGUGUUUCGGCAUAGUGUACUCAGCAGUACUAGGCCAAGGUGGGGUGUUUGGGAGUGAAAAAGAAGUAGGAACGUAACUCUUCGGAGUGUUAUAGCCUACUUUCAUAGCUCCUCAGGCGCCUCAGGACUGCGCUUCGGCAAGGACCU